UCUAGUAUGGCAGAUUAGUGCUAUGAACUUAAGAUUCAUAUAUGAAGAGAAAUCUUCUACUAGAA
rnacentral:tRNA from 1 species